rnacentral:tRNA from 1 species
GGGCAGGUACCAGAGCGGUCAAAUGGAGCAGACUGUAAAUCUGCUGGCUUCGCCUUCGGAGGUUCGAAUCCUUCCCUGCCCAC